rnacentral:rRNA from 1 species
AGAGUUUGAUCCUGGCUCAGGAUGAACGCUAGCGGAAGGCUUAAUACAUGCAAGUCGAGCGGUAGGUGGCUUCGGCCAUUGAGAGCGGCGCACGGGUGAGUAACGCGUACAUGACCUGCCUGUCAGAAGGGGAUAGCCCUGGGAAACUGGGAUUAAUACCCUAUGGUAUUGAUAUUAUGAAUGAUAUCAAUUAAAGUUGAGGCGCUGACAGAUGGAUGUGCGUCUGAUUAGCUAGUUGGUAGGGUAACGGCCUACCAAGGCGACGAUCAGUAGGGGGGCGUGAGAGCGUGGUCCCCCACACGGGUACUGAGACACGGACCCGACUCCUACGGGAGGCAGCAGUAAGGAAUAUUGGUCAAUGCCCGCAAGGGUGAACCAGCCAUUCCGCGUGGAGGAUGAAGGCCCUAUGGGUUGUAAACUUCUUUUAGAUGGGAAGAAAAUGCUAGAUGUAUCUGGUACUGACGGUACCAUCAGAAUAAGCACCGGCUAACUCCGUG